rnacentral:rRNA from 1 species
CCUACGGGAGGCAGCAGUAGGGAAUUUUCGUCAAUGGGCGCAAGCCUGAACGAGCGAUGCCGCGUGAGUGAAGAAGGCCUUCGGGUCGUAAAGCUCUGUUGCGGGGAAAAAAGGCAGCAUCAGGAAAUGGGUGCUGACUGAUGGUGCCCCGCCAGAAAGUCACGGCUAACUACGUGCCAGCAGCCGCGGGAAUACGUAGGUGGCGAGCGUUAUCCGGAAGGAUUGGGCGUAAGGGGUGCGCAGGCGGUCCUGCAAGUCUGCAGUGAAACGCAUGAGCUCAACUCAUGCAUGGCUUUGGAAACUGGAGGACUGGAGAGCAGGAGAGGGCGGUGGAACUCCAUGUGUAGCGGUAAAAUGCGUAGAUAUAUGGAAGAACACCAGUGGCGAAGGCGGCCGCCUGGCCGGUUGCUGACGCUGAGGCACGAAAGCGUGGGGAGCGAACAGGAUUAGAUACCCCUGUAGUC